AUAGCAUGGGACCAUUCUAGGACAUGGACUGUCAGAGAUUUUUUAAAAAAGUAUCAAAUUCAUCAGUUAGAAUUAACCAAGUUAAUUAUAGUUCUAGUCGUCUGCAGAUUGUAGUCAGCUAACCAGUCAGUUGACUAAAAACACAUGUAUAGUACAUUGUCCGUCCCACCAAACAUUCAGAAUCACCUUCACUUAAUGUCACACAGAGAACAUCAUUUUGUCAAACUAUUUUUAACUUUUGCAGGCUCUCGAUGAGAAAAUAAUUCAGGAAACUCCCAAGACCACAAGUUCCACAUCAACAAAUGAAACUGUUGAACAGAUGACAAGUGACAAUAGCCAGAUUGAAAUGGCUAUGAGCAACUUGAGCCAGGCAAGGCCAGUGAUUGACCUAGUCACCAGAGUUGAAAAGGAUCUCGAUGAGGAAAUGCCUCAGAAGAGUCCAGAGACCACAAAUUCCCCAUCAACAAAGGAAGUUGUUGAAC